UCCGGUUGAUCCCGCCGGAGACUACUGCUCUAAGGAUUCUGCUUAGCCAUGCGAGAUUAUGAGCAAUCAUGUCAAACUGCUCAGUAUCGCGUAGUCAACCUGCCCUCAAGUGGGGAAUAAUCAUGGGAAACUGUGCAUAAUACCCCAUAGGUGAUAAUAACUGGAAUGUUUCUUCACUGAAAGAUUGCGCUUGAGGAUGGGACUGCGUCAGAUUAGGCUGUUGUUAGGAUAAAGGCCUAACAAACCUAUAAUCUGUAUGGGUCAUGAGAGUGAUAGCCCAGGGUUGUCUUCUGAGACAUGAAGACAGGCCUUACGGGGCGCAGCAGGCGAGGAACCUUCACAAUGCGUGAGAGCGUGAUGAGGGAAUCCUGAGUGAGUUCACAUUUGUGGGCCCUUUUCUCAACUGUAAACGGGUUGAGGAAUAAGGGGUGGGUAAUACGGUUGCCAGCCGCCGCGGUAAUAACCGAGCCCCAAGUGGUAGUCACGUUUAUUGGGUCUAAAGCAUCCGUAGCCGGUUUGAUUUGUCUUCGGUGAAAUCCUAUAGCAAACUAUAGGGCUUGCUGGAGAUACUGUCAGGCUAGGAGCAGGGAAAGGUCAAGGGUACGACUGGGGUAGGGGUAAAAUCCUUUAAUCCCAGCCGGACCACCAGUGGCGAAGGCGCUUGACUGGAACUGCCUCGACGGUGAGGGAUGAAAGCUAGGGGAGCGAUCGGGAUUAGAUACCCCGGUAGUCCUAGCCGUAAACGAUGCCCGCUUAGUGUUGCAGGACUUUUGAGGUUCUGCUGUGCUGUAGCGAAGGUGUUAAGCGGGCCACCUGGGGAGUACGUCCGCAAGGAUGAAACUUAAGGGAAUUGGCGGGGGAACACUACCAGGGGUGGAGGCUGCGGUUCAAUUGGAUUCAACGCCAGGAACCUUACCAGAAAAGACAGCAGUAUGAAGGUCACUCUGAAGGGGUUACCAGACAAGCUGAGAGAUGCUGCAUGGCCGUCGUCAGUUCGUGUCGUGAGAUGUCAACUUAAGUGUUGAAACGAACGAGACCUGUGCCAUUAGUUGCCACUCUACUUUGUAGAAGCACUCUAAUGGGACCGCUGGUGCUAAACCAGAGGAAGGAGCAGUCUACGGCAGGUCAGUAUGGCUCGAAUUUUCUUGGGUUACACGCGGCCUACAAUGCGUAGCACAAUGGGAUGCAACACCGUGAGGUGACGCCAAUCUCCUAAAACUGCGCUUAGUUCGGAUCGAGGGCUGCAACUCGCCCUCGUGAAGCCGGAAUCCCUAGUAAGCGAAGGUCAUCAUCUUUCGCUGAAUACGUCCCUGUUCCUUGCACACACCGCCCGUCAAGUCAACUGAGUGAGGUUUUGGUGAGGCUUGUGAUGAGCAAUUCGAACCAAGAUUUCGCAAGGUGGAUUAAGUCGUAACAAGGUAGCCGUACGGGAACGUGCGGCUG
rnacentral:rRNA from 1 species